rnacentral:rRNA from 1 species
GGCUCAGGAUGAACGCUGGCGGCGUGCUUAACACAUGCAAGUCGAACGAUGAUCCCAGCUUGCUGGGGGAUUAGUGGCGAACGGGUGAGUAACACGUGAGUAACCUGCCCUUAACUCUGGGAUAAGCCUGGGAAACUGGGUCUAAUACCGGAUAUGACUCCUCAUCGCAUGGUGGGGGGUGGAAAGCUUUUUGUGGUUUUGGAUGGACUCGCGGCCUAUCAGCUUGUUGGUGAGGUAAUGGCUCACCAAGGCGACGACGGGUAGCCGGCCUGAGAGGGUGACCGGCCACACUGGGACUGAGACACGGCCCAGACUCCUACGGGAGGCAGCAGUGGGGAAUAUUGCACAAUGGGCGCAAGCCUGAUGCAGCGACGCCGCGUGAGGGAUGACGGCCUUCGGGUUGUAAACCUCUUUCAGUAGGGAAGAAGCGAAAGUGACGGUACCUGCAGAAGAAGCGCCGGCUAACUACGUGCCAGCAGCCGCGGUAAUACGUAGGGCGCAAGCGUUAUCCGGAAUUAUUGGGCGUAAAGAGCUCGUAGGCGGUUUGUCGCGUCUGCCGUGAAAGUCCGGGGCUCAACUCCGGAUCUGCGGUGGGUACGGGCAGACUAGAGUGAUGUAGGGGAGACUGGAAUUCCUGGUGUAGCGGUGAAAUGCGCAGAUAUCAGGAGGAACACCGAUGGCGAAGGCAGGUCUCUGGGCAUUAACUGACGCUGAGGAGCGAA